AUCGAACGCUGGCGGAAUGCUUUACACAUGCAAGUCGAACGGCAGCACGGACUUCGGUCUGGUGGCGAGUGGCGAACGGGUGAGUAAUGUAUCGGAACGUGCCCAGUCGUGGGGGAUAACGUAGUGAAAAUUACGCUAAUACCGCAUACGAUCUAUGGAUGAAAGCGGGGGAUCGCAAGACCUCGCGCGAUUGGAGCGGCCGAUAUCAGAUUAGGUAGUUGGGGGGGUAAAGGCCCACCAAGCCAACGAUCUGUAGCUGGUCUGAGAGGACGACCAGCAACACGGGAACGGAGAAACGGUCCAGAACGCCACGGGAGGCAGCAGUGGGGAAUUUUGGACAAGGGGAGAAAGCCUGAUCCAGCAAUUCCGCGUGCAGGAUGAAGGCCCUCGGGUUGUAAACUGCUUUUGUACAGAACGAAAAGGUUUCUACUAAUACUAGGGGCUCAUGACGGUACUGUAAGAAUAAGCACCGGCUAACUACGUGCCAGCCGCCGCAGUAA
rnacentral:rRNA from 1 species